CCUACGGGUGGCAGCAGUGAGGAAUAUUGGUCAAUGGGCGCGAGCCUGAACCAGCCAAGUAGCGUGAAGGAUGACUGUCCUACGGGUUGUAAACCUCUUUUAUAAAGGAAUAAAGUGAGGCACGCGUGCCUUUCCGUAAGUACUCUAUGAAUAAGGAUCGGCUAACUCCGUGCCAGCAGCCGCGGUAAUACGGAGGAUCCGAGCGUUAUCCGGAUUUAUUGGGUUUAAAGGGGGCGUAGAUGGGUUGUUAAGUCAGUUGUGAAAGUUUGCGGCUCAACCGUAAAAUUGCAAUUGAUACUGGCAGCCUUGAGUGCAGUUGAGGUAGGCGGAAUUCGUGGUGUAGCGGUGAAAUGCUUAGAUAUCACGAAGAACUCCGAUUGCGAAGGCAGCAUAC
rnacentral:rRNA from 1 species